rnacentral:rRNA from 1 species
UACAGAGGGGGCAAGCGUUGUUCGGAAUUACUGGGCGUAAAGGGCGCGUAGGCGGCCGCCUAAGUCAGACGUGAAAUCCCUCGGCUUAACCGGGGAACUGCGUCCGAUACUGGUUGGCUUGAGUUUGGGAGAGGGAUGCGGAAUUCCAGGUGUAGCGGUGAAAUGCGUAGAUAUCUGGAGGAACACCGGUGGCGAAGGCGGCAUCCUGGACCAAUACUGACACUGAGGAGCGAAAGCCAGGGGAGCAAACGGG